CAACUACAUAAGCGUUAAGGUGUCCGUUCGGACUUAACAGGGAAUCCCGUGAGAAUCGGGAGCGGUCCCGCCGCUGUGACCGGGGACACCAACCAUGAAGGUGGGGAAAAC
rnacentral:ncRNA from 2 species